AGUCUUGGUCCUCCCACUCUCUUCUCCCAUCUUCCCUCCUACCAGCAUUUUUCAAAUCUGAAAUCAAACCAAUGAAAUCAAACCAAUCUGAAAUCAAACCAAUGAUCUAUCUUUAAGGAACAGUCUUCAUAUUCGUAGGUAUUCAGUGACAGCUGGUUCACACUGAACACGUAUGACCCAAGCGAGAGAGAAGGAAGUUUCUAACAGCUUUAGAGAACAUGCAUGGGAGAAGAAAUGCUUUUGAUCUAUCACUCUAUGGACUGUUUUUGAUUUAUCUCAAAUGCUUCAGCAUAGCGGGUGUGAAGAUUAUUGGUCAUGAUAUAACAGUCGUGAAAAAAGGGAGUGCCACUUUGUUUUGUCACCUGACUGAGAUAGAGGAGAAUUUAACUCAUAUCACCUGGCAGAAACAGACAGGAGAAAACCCUGAACAGGAAACCUUCCUUAUCAUCCAUAAAGAUGGGAAAACUGAACUCAAAAAUGAUAUACAGGACAAGGUCAAAUUUAUUGGGAACAUUAAAGAGAAGAAUGGAUCGAUUCAGCUGCUGGAAGUGUCGCUUCUGGAUGAUGGGAUCUACACUUGCAUCUUCAACACGUUUCCUAGUGGACAAAUUCAGACAAACAUCAAUGUCACGGUACUUGUUCCUCCUGUGGGGAGCGUGACGGGGAGCACACACGUUUCUGAUCAUUACGAAGUUACUUUGGCAUCAUGUGAAGCCUCCAAAGCUCGGCCAGCAGCAGAAGUGUUGUGGAGAUUAGGAGCUCUGAAUGACUCCCUGAGAACUGAAAUCAGCUGCACAGAGCACUCAGAUGGGACAUUUACCGUUGUGAAUCACAUACUUGGUGCACCACAUAAACAUUUAAACCAGAGGAAGAUCCAGUGUGUGGUGAAGCACAGCACACUGACAAAGGAGCUUGAACUCGACUAUAUGAUAAAUGUCCACUAUCCUCCAGAAUUGGUGGUGGUAAUACCUGAUGAUCCAAAAGAGGCUGAGGAAUAUCGUUGUGUAGUGGAUUGUAACCCAACACCGACCAGCUACAUCUGGAUCAAAGUGAAUGGAAGUACUCCGCAUUCUGAAGGCAAUAAACUUUUCAUCCCAAAAUCCUCCUCUGAUUUUAAUGGUGUAUACAUCUGUACAGCAUCGAACGAGUAUGGAAGUGCAUCAGGUGUCCUCUAUGUGGGUAACACUGGAUCCACUGAUGUCUGUUGGGAUCUCUUUGGUUUUAUCUUCAGCUGUGCCAUCCUGGGGAUUACUGUGGUUUGCACAGUGCUCAGUGGUGUAGAAAUGUCUCAAGUUCUGAGGUUCUACUGAGGUAAAAGUAGAUUUUACAAAAGUAAACACUCUUGAUUAGACAUCAUCACAGACUGAUGAGAGGUCACCCUAACCCUGAUGAGAGGUCACUCAAAAACUAGCAGUUUCACUUCAGGUUAUUAAUUACUUCUCUAAAAUUGUAUUCAGGAUGCGUUCACUAUCACAAAAAACACAUUUGUCAAAGUAAACACUAAUUACUUUUACAUUACUUUCUAAAAUACUUAAAAACAUUCAGUGACACCCAACAGUGCUUACAGGUCAAUACAAUAAUAUAACAAAAAUAAAGUUUUUUUUUUCUUUCUGAAAAUGCAACUUUUUUGACAUGUCUGUAUCUGCCCAUGAUUCAUUUCAUGACUGUUUCAGUGCUUGUGUGUGAAUUAUGUGCACAUCUGUUUAAUUUUUACCGUGUUAUUCUUGGGUGUGUUUGAGUAACGAUGAGAUCAUUCUAAUUCAUAUGGUGUGUUCAUAUCUUCCUGGGAAGUUCCAUGUGUGUUCAAAUCCCUUUGAUAAACCAGAUGGUGAUGUACAGUGCCCUCCACUAAUAUUGGCACCCUUGGCAAAUAUAAGCAAAGGUGGCUGUGAAAAUUAAUCUGCAUUGUUUAUCCUUUUGAUCUUUCAUUCAAAAAAUUCACUAAAUUCUAACCUUUCAUUUAAGUAAAACAAUUGAAAAAAAAAAAAAAAGCUCAUUAUGAAAUAAAUGUUUUUCUCUAGUUUACGUUGGCCACAAUUAUUGACACCCAAUUAUUGCAAAGUCCUAUUCCCAAGAUAACAGCUCUGAGUCUUCUCCUAUAAUGCCUGAUGAGUUUGGAGAACACCUGACAAGAGAUCAGAGACCAUUCCUUCAUACAGAAUCUCUCCAGAUCCUUCAGAUUCCAGCUCCAUGUUGGUGCUUCUUCUCUUCAGUUCACUCCACUCAUUUUCUUUAGGGUUCAGGUCAGGGGACUGGGACGACCAUGGCAGAAGCUUCAUUUUGUGCUCAGUGACACAUUUUUGUGUUGGUUUUGAUGUUUGUUUUGGAUCAUUGUCCUGAUGGAAGAUCCAACCACGGCCCAUUAUAAGAUUUCUAGCAGAAGCGGUCAGGUUUUGAUUUUUUUAUCUGUUGGUAUUUGAUAGAAUCCAUGAUGCCGUGUAUCUGAACAAGGUGUCCAGGACCUCCAGCAGAAAAAUAGGCCCACAACAUUAAAGAUCCAGCAGUAUAUUUAACCGUGGGCAUGGGGUACUUUUUAUCCAUGUGUGCACCAAACCCAUCUUUGCUGCCAAAAAGCUCUAAUUUUAGUUUCAUCUGACCAUAGAUGCCGGUCCCAUUUGAAGUUCCAGUCUUGUCUGACAACUGAAUAUGCUGGAGAUUGUUUCUGGAUGAGAGCAGAGGAUUUUUCUUGAAACCCUUCCGAACAACUUGUGGGGAUGUAGGUGCUGUUUGAUAAUUUUUUUUAAAGCUUUCUGAGACUCAACUAAUCUCUGCAAUCCUCCAGCUGUGAUCCUUGGAGAGUCUUUGUCCACUCAAACUCUCCUCCUCACCGCACAUUAGGAUGAUUUAGACACACGUCCUCUUCCAGGCAGACUUGUAACAUCUUUAGUUGAUUGGAACUUCUUAAUUAUUGAUGGUGGAAAUGAGGAUUUUCAAUGCGUUAGCUAUUUUCUUAUAGCCAUUUUCUAUUUUGUGAAGCUCAACAAUCUUUUGCUGCACAUCAGAACUAUAUUCUUUGGUUUUUCUCAUUGUGAUGAAUGAUUAAGGGAAUUUGGCCUUUGUGUUUCCUCAUGUUUAUACUCCUGUGGAACAGGAAGUCAUGGCUGGACAAUUUCAUAUUCAUGCUAAAAAAAUGUAAAUAUGAAUAGGAAUAUACUUAAGAGAUAUUUUACUCAUAAAACAUUCUAGGGGUGCCAAUAAUUGUGGCCAACGUGUUUUGGAGAAAAUCAUUUAUUUCAUAAUGUAAUUUUACCCCCACUUUCAAUUGUUUUACUUUGAUGAAAUGUUAGAAUUUAGUGAAUUUUUUGAAUGAAAGAUCAAAAGGAUAAACAAUGCAGAUUAAUUUUCACAGCCGCCCUUUGCUCAUAUUUACCAAGGGUGCCAAUACAGUUGCAAGAAAAAGUGGUAAAACUUUAUAAUAACUGCACACUAUGAAGCAUUAGUUAAGCAUUAGUAAAUGGUCAAUUCAUCAUUUAUAAAGCAUUAAUAGACAUUAGUAAGCAGUUUAUAAAUAAAGCUAUAAAUGCUUUAUUCUUGAUUUAUAGGCAUAUCUAUAAUGUGUUUAAUAAUUGUAUUUUCAUACUUUAUUAAUGAUUAAUUUAUCAUUUCUAAAUUAAGUAUUACAUUAUUUACAAACCAGUUAUUUAGGAGUUGUCAGUGCUUCAUAAGAUCGUUUAGAAAGUGUAAGUAAAUGAUUAAUAAACUAUUUAAACGUACAUUUAUACAUCUUAUUAUUUAGACAUAUAGUAAUAGUUAGUCAGUGUGUUAAUAAAUGCUUUAUUAACACGUAUUCCUACUGUAAUUCAUGAUUAAUUCAGGUAGUUAUAAAACAUUUAGUAGUUGUCAGUUAACUAUUUUUGUGAGCUCAUCUAAAGUGAGGACUAUUCAUGCCUCGUAAAGCUUUUAUAAAGGAUAUUUAAAGGCUCAGUUAUCUUCUAAACAGAAAAAGGAAACAAACAUAACACAGAGGGUUACAGAACAUAAAAAUAUUUAUUUCAAGAUGCAAAAAUUAAACUGUACAACUGUGCACUUGAUAUAACAUAAAAAAUAAACCUCUGCAAUAUCCCAAAAAGAAAAAAAGAAGAAAAAAGCAACAAAAUGAACAAAAAAGAACAAAAUAAGCAAGAAAGUGAAUAUAAAUAAAAAUAAGCAACAAAAUGACAGAUAGAAAAUGAAUAUACUCAACAAAUGAUCAAACAAUAUUUGAAAAUUACAUUUUAUAUAAAUUCUUAUAUAAAGUGCUCUUACGCUUGUUACAAUGACUAAAUAAUACUACUUGUACAUUCUUGAAAUGUCAUGAAUCAGUCUGCCAAAUGCACCAUCAUAGUAUUUCUUUGCUAGCCAUUCAUUCCACUCUAUCACUGCAAGGUGGUCAGAAAGCAAACUCUCAGUCCGAUUUCCCCUAAGCCUCCAGAUCUGCUCCUUGUAAGAUCUCCAGGCCCUCUCAAUAUGUUGGGUAUGGGCACCAGUGUGGGGAUCUACAUACCACCUGCUGUGGUUGACAGUGUGAUGGUUGUACCCUAGUGCAGGGAGUAUGUAAUAGGCAUGCCACUCGUCACUGAUAAUUGAUGACCCAGGCCUCACAUGAUGCGCAAUCAAAGGGACUAGAUGUUUUCGAGAUCUUCUCUCCAGAAGACGCAGAAUAGGUUUUCUGGAUUUUUUCUGCUGAUGAUGUCUCACACCUAACAUUCCAAAGACCCACUUCUUACUUUUCCACCCACCAGCCAUUCUUCCUCUACCAUACUAAUGGAGAAAAACAAAAUAAACACAGAGGUAAACAGAUACAUUAUAAUCAAGUCAAGUCAAGUCAAGUCACCUUUAUUUAUAUAGCACUUUUUACAAUGUAGAUUGUGUCAAAGCAGCUUUACAUUGAUAACUGGUACAUUGUUUGGCUGCACAGCAGCAGCUAGUGUCAAUGCAAUAACAAUAAUAACAAUAACUUUGGAACCUAUAUUUCACAUUUAUUUAAAGUCACUAUUGCUAUAACAUACCUUUCUUUUGUGCCGAAAAUGGCUUUCGUCGAUCACAACAAACUCCCUUCUUCCACCAAUCUGCUGACCUGUACGCCUUCUCAUCCUUUCAACUGCUGUGACACAGACUUCCCUUAUUUUCUUCGCCAUUUUACUAAGAGUUGCUGAACUGCCUGCAAUGCUGUCGUCCAUCAUGUCUAUCUGCCGUAACCGUAGACCCUGAGAAAACCUUUAAAGGCAAAUAGAACAUGUAAUGUUUAUGAUUGUAAAAUAAUUGACACUGUAUGCAUUAUUUUAUGCAAAUUACAAAGAAAACUGCAACAAAGUGAGUUAAUUAUAUACAUAUUCAUAUUACAACUGUUUUUUGUUUUUUUUUGCCUACCUGUACAUGAAUUGCAUCCACCUACUGAAGGAGACCUUUGAUCUACUGAAGAUUGAUUUGUGCCUGACAGAAAUUUGUUUUGCCCUUCCCUCAUGUGCUCCUGCUUGUCGACAAAUCCUAUUGUAAAAAAAAAAAAAUCUUGAUUAUGUUUCAGUGCGAUGCAAAUUAUAUAUAUUUAUAUAUAUAUAAUUUUAAUAUAUAUAUAAAAUAAUUUUAAUAUAUUAUAAAAUAUAUAUAUCUUACCAAGCAUACUGGUCUCCACUGUUCGUCCUUUUCUUCAUUUUCAUGUCCCGAUGACAAAUUCUGCAUUUAUUUUUUGUUUUUAGCAGUUUCCUUUUCUGAAGCCACUUAAUCAUCUUCAGGGUUUUCUUUGUAGAGCUGGGCUCAUUAAUGAGCUUCUUUAGCCGGCUUAAUCUGCUCAUCUUUAUUUAUUUAUUUAUUUUUUUUUUUAUUAAACAUUUGCUUUAGAUAAUAGUGAUAUAGUGACAGCUAGUUUGUGAUCAAAUAGGUGGGAGAAAUCGCGCUCCCGCUUUCAUACGUAAUCAAUGUGGGACAAAGGAAAACUCGCGCUUUCGAACGUCAUCAACGGGGGACGAAGGAAUUGUGCAGCAGCAGUUUGUUUAUGACAUGGAGAACUUUGACAAAAGUAGAAAAGGCGUGCGGACCCGGGCCAAAAGGAAUGCCACCGUGGAGAUGGAUGCAUUGGAUGAGACUUCCGUCGGUGGCACUAGUGGUGAGUAUGUUACUCUGUUUACUGGCACGUAUUAUUAAUGAUGGCUAGCAAGCUAAUCGCUAGUUAGAGGUCCUGAUGCCAGCGACACGCAGGGGGGCGGGAUCGCUGCGACGUACGGCACUGCUUACACACUAGGCAGGAAGCCUGGCUGUCAACAGAUGACUUUUGUAAUGACAUUUUUGACUCUCUUUGUGUAAUGCACAGGGACGGGCGGGAUGGGAUGAGAGUUUGUUAGACAACAAUAAAGUAAAUAGAAUGUUCACAGUUCAUUCAAUAAUGUAUAGUUACUUUUAAUUAGGUGUGCCCACGGCCCCCACUGCACAUCUGGCAGACAAAAGGAAAUCUCAUGAGAUGGAGAUGUGUAAGCUGAAAAUAGAGUGGCAAAAAGACAAGAUUGAUGAGCUGACCAAGGAGAGAGACUAUCUAAAAGAGCAGCUGGCAUCAGCUCUUAAAAGAGAGGACAACGUUUCCAAGCAGACGAUUCCCCUGUCUUCAGAUUCCUGUCGUGACAGCUCAGAAUCUUCCUCUGAUUCUAUGUCUGACUCCUCUAUAUCCUCAUCAGAGGGGGACAGGAAGAAGAAGAAGAGGGUGAAAAGAAAGGGGAAAGGGAAAAAGUAUGGGAAGUCCAAGAGAAUGAAAACAAAGACACGUCAGAGAGCUCAAACACCACAGCAGGUAGUGGCCCGAUAUGAAAAAGUUCUUCGACACUUCAGCAGAGGAGGGACCAUGUCUGCUGCAUUCAGGCAGGUUGGGGUGGACCGGAACACCAUCGUAGUCAAUGCACCGAUUGCCGAAUUGUACAUCGCUGCGCCCUGCAAAUUUAAGGAACUCCUUAAAACCCACAGCAGUGAGGUUAAACUCAGUAUUUUUGCCACACAAUGUGCUGCUGUGAUUAAGGAGGAUCCAGCUAUAGAAGAUACUAUCAAAGCCUUUAAGGCUUCCAGUAAGCUGCUGCCUCUAAAAGGAAAGUGAACUGAUCUAGGAUCUGUUUUCAAGUUUUCUAAAUAAAACUAAAGUUGUACAAUGGACUGAAACACGUCCACAAUCUGCACUGCUGUUCUGUAAUGUUUGAAACGUUCUGUAAUGUUAAUACUGAGGUAGUUUUUACACUAAAAUAUUUUAUUAUAUUAUUAUUCAUUUAUAAAAAUGUUAUUUGUUGUAUUUUAUAUGUUGUAUUUUUUAUUUUUAUAUUGUAUGUUGCAUUAGCACUCCUGUAGCACUUUAAAUAAUUUUUUAUACCAUAUUGCAGAGGCUUAUGUUUACUGGAGGUGUACAGGGAUUUUUUCUUUUUGUGAUAUUGCAGAGGUUUAUUUUUUAUGUUAUAUCAAGUGUACAGUUGUACAGUUUGAUUUUUGCAUCUUGAAAUAAAUAUUUUUAUGUUCUGUAUCCCUCUGUGUUAUGUUUGUUUCCUUUUUCUGUUUAGAAGAUAACUGAGCCUUUAAAUAUCCUUUCUAAAAGCUUUACGAGGCAUGAAUAGUCCUCACUUUAGAUGAGCUCACAAAAAUAGUUAACUGACAACUACUAAAUGUUUUAUAACUACCUGAAUUAAUCAUGAAUUACAGUAGGAAUACGUGUUAAUAAAGCAUUUAUUAACACACUGACUAACUAUUACUAUAUGUCUAAAUAAUAAGAUGUAUAAAUGUACAUUUAAAUAGUUUAUUAAUCAUUUACUUACACUUUCUAAACGAUCUUAUGAAGCACUGACAACUCCUAAAUAACUGGUUUGUAAAUAAUGUAAUACUUAAUUUAGAAAUGAUGAAUUGAUCAUUAAUAAAGUAUGAAAAUACAAUUAUUAAACACAUAAUAGAUAUGCUUAUAAAUCAAGAACAAAGCCUUUAUAGGUGUAUUUAUAAACUGCUUACUAAUGUCUAUUAAUGCUUUAUAAAUGAUGAAUUGACUAUUUACUAAUGCUUAACUAAUGCUUCAUAGUGUGCAGUUAUUAUAAAGUGUUACCGAAAAAGUAUGUGAACCACUUGCAGAAUCUGUGAAAAUGUUUUUUUUUUUUUAACAAAGUAAGGGAGAUAAUAUAAAAUGCAUGUUAUUUAUUAUUUAUUUUACAUAAAAGAAGUUUACAUAUAAUCCACAAGACAAAAAAUAGCUGAAUUUAUUAAAAUAACCAAAAAGUAUGUGAACUAUUGAUUCUUAAUACUGUGUGUGGUUACCUGGAUGAUCUACGACUGUUUUUUUGUUUUGUGAUGGUUGUUCUUGAGUCCCUUGUUUGUUCUGAACAGUUAAACUGAGCUCUGUUCUUCAGAAAAAAUCUCUGCACAAACAAGCCACAGCAGAAGUCAACACACACAAGAAUGUGCUUUGGAAAUUUGUACGUUUAUUUAGAUGGAUGCAUUCAAUUGGUCAAAAAUGACAGUAAAGACAUUUGCAAUCUUACAAAAGAUCAAGUAAAUGCUGUUCUUUAAACUUUCUGUUCAUCAGAGAAACCUAAAAAACUCAUCACGGUUUCCGCAAUCAUUAAGCAGCACAACUGUGAUAAUGAUCAGAAAUAUUUCUUAUUGUCUAUAUAAUUCAUAACCACACAUUUAUUAUGAACUAUGCAGUAAGGCGAUUGCUUCUCCUGAUUUGUUAUUGCUGUAGGAUUGGCAUGACCUAUAAAGGCCUGGAAAGGGGGUGGGGAGCAGCAGCUCAUUUGCAUUUAAAGAGACACACGAAAAUGGCAUGUUUUUGCUCACACCCAAUAGGGGCAAAUUGGACAAGCUAUAGUAAAUGAUUUGUGUGGUAUUUUAAGCUGAAAUUUCACAGACACAUUCUGGGGACACCAGAGACUUAUAUUACAUCUUGUUUAAAGGGCCAUAAUAGGUCCCCUUAAAGAUUUUUCAGCCGUUUUGAUCUAAAUAAUCUAAAAUGUCUUUAAUUACUCAUUGUUGCAGUUGGUCUGAUGCUUCCAGCCAUGCUUGCAUAACUCAUCAUGCCUUUUUGUGCCCCUUAAUUGCUGCUUACAGCUAUAUAUAGUCAUUUAUUGUUUUACUGAUUAUUUUAAAUCACCAUUUACACACAAACUGACCACCAACUGCAACUUUCAGAUGCCAUCUUUAUUCUUCUAGCUCAACUGUCACAGAAUGGAAAGCACAGGAUUGUGGGAUAUCAAAGGCAGCGAAUGAUACAUCUAUGCUGCCUUCAAAAAUCGUUAAGAUGAAGGUAUCUCAUGAGACAGGAAGUAAAGCUAACUUUGGAUUCGGACAUGCCUUAAUGCCUUCCUACCUUGGAAUAUGUCUUCUGAAGGCAUCAUUUUUCAGCCUGUGCCACACAAGUCCUGAAAAGUGAAGCCAAAGCGUCUCGAUCGCCCCCAGGUGGCUGGAUGUAGUAUAGGUCAUAAACCCCACCCUCUCCAUGUAAUGUAAUGAACGUGAGACAAACUAAACAGUCGAAUUACACGUCAAAUAUUUUUUCUUCCAAAGAUAGUUUCUGUCAUUUUAGGCAGUUUUUAUCACGCUGAUGUUAGCUAAAGUGUUCUUUCUUUAAAUAAGUUUUUUUAAGUUAGUUAUUUGAUGCAAUAAAAACACGGGUUUUGAUGUUAUGAUUGACAGCUGAGAUUACAGCUUCUCUUAAAGAGAAGUCGUCACUGAAGCACCAACAGACUUUUUUCUGGAUCUUCAGGAGGAGAUUGGAGCUUUAACUUAAAUUUCUACAUUUCCAGAACUGUUUAUUUCACACCAACAUAAUGUGUUGUUCUGCAGUAUUAACCGAUUUUGCGGGAGUGUGGGCGGGACCUUGAUAUCGCGGCUCCGCUUCACACUCACUACUGCGCUGACUCGGGCUCCAAGUUCACUAUGUGCAGACUCGAGACUCAAGAUGUCAGUGGCAUAUUGACACACUGUCGGCUUCAGUUACUACAAUGUAACCCAUCCAUGUAUGACAGUGGGUCAUAAGCGAUUGUUAAUAGUUAAAACAGUUUAAAUUAUUAGUAUUUUUUGUAUCUAUUGUUUCACUUCAGAAGACAUUGGUGGGGUCUACUGGGGUCGCAUGUGUCUUUAGGACUCAAAGAGAUGUAUUAUUUUCCUAAAAAUCUUAAUUCAUGUUUAUCUGUAGAAAAAAGUAAUAUGCAUCUUGGACGGCAUGAGGGUGAGUAAAAUAUGUGAGAAUUUUUAUUUUUUGGUGAACUAUCCCCUUAACAUACAUAAGCUGUUGGUAUGCUAAUCCAAGAUCAGCAUAGACUAAUAAGAAUAAAGUGCAACCUCUUGUGUAUUUGUGAACUGUUUUAAAUCUAGAACUACAAAGAAAUUAAAAUAUUUGCAUAAUA